GUUUAGCGGACCCUUGAUAGCUGCAGAACCUGCUACAGUAGGAGGUGUUCUGGCAUGGGUAACUAAGAUUGAUUGCCAUGGCUGAAGUUGAAGAGACCAGAAAAACGUAAGCAAGCUGAAGUAAUGAAAUCAAAUGGAACCAACUGAGAGCCGUCUCCAUCGCCCAAAAAGGGAAAGCCCGUUCCUCCUGGCGAGGAAGGAUCACCAUUAAUAGUGAUCGGAAUAAUAGAUCACCAACAUAUAAGGGCGAUGGAUUUUUACUAUGCCUCCAUCAACAAGCGCUGGCUGGCAAAGUUACGUCAUGUCCCAACUGAGACUCUUAGGCAAGACGGAGGAGUUCAGGAGUUCAGAACAUCGGGGAACGACUAUGUGCUGCCAUGAAGAACUACAGGCUACUGUCCUCAGCCCUUUGUAAGUUAUCAGGCGUCAAGAGCGGCCAGGAGACUCCAAAUACCAGCGGAAAGGUUCUCUGCCCGGUGCUGGCGAGGUGCCUUCAGCCGUAGGAGGGUCGGCCGUGUCCUUACCGGACUUGUGAGUAAUAAGCCGCAGUUCACGGACCAGCAAAGGAGGGGGGGGAAACAGCAACCGGUAGCCCAGUGGCUACGGCAUUGCUGUUGCUAGCA
rnacentral:lncRNA from 1 species